ensembl:lncRNA
UAGGAACAUUUAAUUCCCCCAUCAGACAUGAUAAUGUUUUUAUCCAUCAACACUUGAACAAGAGGGAACACUUUUUUUUUUUUGUAUGCCACAAUCCAUAUUAUUAUUGUUAACUAAAAUUAAAUAAAUAAAAAAUGUUAACUGAAAUAAAAUAUAAAUAUUAGAUACAAAACAGAAAAAAAAUUAGACCUGAAUUAUAAAUUAGAAUAAAUUAUAUAUUAGAAUGCAACUAACUGAAAUGAAAUAGAUUUGAGUAUAAUUACUAAAAAAUUAAAGAUGAAGUAAAGCUAAAUAAAAAUAAAUGUUUUUAAAAAAAAGCUAAUGAAAUGACAAAAGCCGAAAAGUACUAAAAGCUUAAAUUAAAAUUUAAACUAAAAAUCUAAAAAUAAAAGCCAACUCCUAAUUUAUUAAUUAAUAGUAUACAAAUAAUACUAAAAUAACACUGCUCACACACACACACAAAAAAAGACUUCUCUGAAAGCCGUUCUCUGCAUCUCCUCACUGAAAUAUAUGUGUGAAGACUUGUUCUUCUACCCUGACUAUUGUUAUUUAGGUGUUACCAUGGAACUAGACCCUGUUGUAUGUGUCGGUGGGGGGCUGGUGGUCCUUUUGCUUCUUGUGUAACUGUAGAUUGAGCAGCAGUUGUGUAUUAAUAGAUCUGAGUGACGUGCAUGAGCGGCAGCUUAACUCGAUUGUUGGAUUUUUGUGUUUAUUUCAGGGAUGGAGGAAGGGAGGUGACCCUCACAGCUCUUGCGUGGUUGAAGAAACGGAGAGCGUGAGGGGUACAGCAGAUAUUAAGACAUUCAGGCUCUUAUGAUUGACGGGGCGGCAGGAUAUCUGAUGUUGGCCUGGAGAGAGACAGGACACAUGGAACUGACAGGUUAGUGCCGGAAGAUUUAAGAAAUAACAUUCCCUCAUUUUAUGAGUAUAUUUAUCCUUCUGUAGCUCUGUCAUUGUGUAUGUGUCUUCCUUUUUAGGUCUGCACUUGGCUCAGGGAACAUACAGAGACGCUGCUGAUGACAGGAAGACGGAUCAAGGGAAAGAGAAGAGGGACUCAGGAAAGCCAAGAUGCUGGGAUGAACUGAAGGUUAAAUAUAUACAGUGGUGAAUGAGAGGAGUGUAGAAUAGAGUUAGGGAAACAAAUAUGAAGAAAAAAAGUUUAGAAGUGACAGAGUAAAAUGUGAAUUUGAACAUCUUGGGAAUAUUUGACAGUGGUUGAGCUGUCAAUUCUACUUUAACUGCCUCUAACAAAUACAUUAUUUUCAAACACAUUAGUGAUUACUGUGGCCUU